GUGGCCAUGGGUGUAGUGUCUGCCAUGUAGAGGAGCAGCUGCUGGCUGUCGCACCAACACUCCAGCUUGCCUGGAGCAAGGUGCACAGAGGAAAGGGCAUAUGAGGACACAGCUAUAAGGCAACCAUCCACAGCCUGACCAGCAAGAUCUUACCAGAAUCAAACCCUGCUGGCAUCGUGAUCUUGGCCUUCCAGUCUCUAUAACUGUGAAACAAUACACUUCUGGUGUUUAA